rnacentral:rRNA from 1 species
GUAGUCUCGCACAGAUGCAUAUCAAUAAGCGGAGGAAAAGAAACUAACAAGGAUUCCCCUAGUAACGGCGAGUGAAGCGGGAAGAGCUCAAAUUUGAAAUCUUAAAGGGUUUCCCUUUACGAAUUGUAGUUUAAAGAAGUGUUUUCUGUUGAGGUUUUGGUAAAAGUUCUUUGGAAUAGGACAUCAUAGAGGGUGAGAAUCCCGUAUUUGACCUUUACUUUCAACUUUGUGAUACACUUUCAAAGAGUCGGAUUGUUUGGGAAUGCAGUCCAAAAUGGGUGGUAAAUUUCAUCUAAAGCUAAAUAUUGGCGAGAGACCGAUAGCGAACAAGCUACCGUGAGGGAAAGAUGAAAAGAACUUUGAAAAGAGAGUUAAACAGUACGUGAAAUUGUCAAAAGGGAAGCGUUUGACACCAGUGUUGUUUUUCUGAAAAUCAAUUAAAGAACUGUUUAUGCUAAGCUGUUUAGACUUUAUCAGCUAUCUGUUUAGUUUUGAGCUUUUCUUUAAUGCACUUUUCAGUUAACAAGUCAACAUCAAUUUCUUUUGCUGUAAAAAAGCUUGAGGAAGGUGGCUUGAGAUUCGUCUUAAGUGUUUAUAGCCUCUUGCCUAUGCAGUCGGAGAGAUUGAGGUCUGCAGCGUAGAUCCUUCGGGGCUAAAUGCAUUUGUGCUAAGUUAUAGCAUUUUAUAGACAACUUGUUGACUAUGAUUUGUCUUGUAGCUUACUCGCUUAUGUUAUUUUACCUACGCUUAGGAUGUUGACAGCAGUAUAGACUGU